rnacentral:rRNA from 1 species
AGUGAACGCUGGCGGCAGGCCUAACACAUGCAAGUCGAACGGUAACACGAAGAAGCUUUCUGCUUAGCUGUCGAGAGUCGGGGGGGGGUGUAAUGUCUAGGAAACUGUCCGUUUUCGGGGGGUAACAAGUGGAAACGGUAGCGAAAAUACCAUAACCUCCCUAGGGCAAAGAGCGGGAGCUUUUGGCCUCUUGCCCGCAUGUAUGCCCAGAUGGGAUUAGCUAGUAGGUGGGGUAAAGGCGCACCUAGGCGACGCUCCGUAGCUGGUCUGAGAGGAUGAUCAGCCACACUGGAACUGAGACACGGUCCAGACUCCUACGGGAGGCAGCAGUGGGGAAUAUUGGACAAUGGGCGCAAGCCUGAUGCAGCCAUACUGCGUGUAUGAAGAAGGCCUUCGGGUUGUAAAGUCCUUUUGGCGGGGAGGAAGGGAAUAAAGUUAAUACCUUGGCGCAUUGACGUUACCCAAAGAAGAAGCACCGGCUAACUCCGUG